AGCGAACGCUGGCGGGAGGCCUAACACAUGCAAGUCGAACGAACCCUUCGGGGUUAGUGGCGGACGGGUGAGUAACACGUGGGAACGUGCCUUUAGGUUCGGAAUAACUCAGGGAAACUUGUGCUAAUACCGAAUGUGCCCUUCGGGGGAAAGAUUUAUCGCCUUUAGAGCGGCCCGCGUCUGAUUAGCUAGUUGGUGAGGUAAUGGCUCACCAAGGCUACGAUCAGUAGCUGGUCUGAGAGGAUGACCAGCCACAUUGGGACUGAGACACGGCCCAAACUCCUACGGGAGGCAGCAGUGGGGAAUCUUGCGCAAUGGGCGAAAGCCUGACGCAGCCAUGCCGCGUGGAUGAUGGAGGUCUUAGGAUUGUAAAAUCCUUUCACCGGUGAAGAUAAUGACUGUAGCCGGAGAAGAAGCCCCGGCUAACUUCGUGCCAGCCGCCGCCGUAAUAC
rnacentral:rRNA from 1 species